UACGGAGGGAGCUAGCGUUGUUCGGAUAUACUGGGUGUAAAGCGCACGUAGGCGGCGCCGUAAGUCAGGGGUGAAAUCCCGGAGCUCAACUCCGGAACUGCCCUUGAAACUGCAGUGCUAGAAUCUUGGAGAGGCGAGUGGAAUUCCGAGUGUAGAGGUGAAAUUCGUAGAUAUUCGGAAGAACACCAGUGGCGAAGGCGACUCGCUGGACAAGUAUUGACGCUGAGGUGCGAAAGCGUGGGGAGCAAACAGG
rnacentral:rRNA from 1 species